UACAGAGGUCCCAAGCGUUGUUCGGAUUCACUGGGCGUAAAGGGUGCGUAGGUGGUUGGGUAAGUCUGAUGUGAAAUCUCCGGGCUCAACCCGGAAAUGGCAUUGGAUACUAUUCGGCUAGAGGUUUGGAGGGGGGACUGGAAUUCUCGGUGUAGCAGUGAAAUGCGUAGAUAUCGAGAGGAACACCAGUGGCGAAGGCGAGUCCCUGGACAACACCUGACACUGAGGCACGAAGGUCAGGGGAGCAAACGGG
rnacentral:rRNA from 1 species